rnacentral:rRNA from 1 species
CCUACGGGUGGCAGCAGUGGGGAAUAUUGCACAAUGGGGGAAACCCUGAUGCAGCGACGCCGCGUGAGUGAUGAAGUAUUUCGGUAUGUAAAGCUCUAUCAGCAGGGAAGAUAAUGACGGUACCUGACUAAGAAGCUCCGACUAAAUACGUGCCAGCAGCCGCGGUAAUACGUAUGGAGCAAGCGUUAUCCGGCUUUACUGGGUGUAAAGGGAGCGCAGACGGCAGGGCAAGUCUGAUGUGAAAGUCCGGGGCGCAACCCCGGGACUGCAUUGGAAACUGUCCGGCUAGAGUGCAGGAGAGGUAAGUGGAAUUCCUAGUGUAGCGGGGAAAUGCAUAGAUAUCACGAGGAACCCCGAUUGCGAAGGCAGCCUGCCGGGGUGCGACUGACGCUGAGGCUCGAAGGUGCGGGUAUCAAACAGGAUUAGAUACCCUGGUAGUC